GAUUGCACUUCAUAAGUGAAAAACUAAUGUGGGGGCCGGGGAUUUAGCUCAGUGGUUCCGGCGUCUGCCUCGCAAGCGCAAGGUCCCAAGUUCCAUCCCCGGUACCAAAAACAAAACAAAACAAAAAAAAAACCACAUUGCUGUUCAUCUGUUAAUCCUCCUCCAAAUAUUCCUUGACUCCAACCCCCACCGUUCUUGCCACUUCCUGAAGCAGUUCUACAAGAGACACUCUUCCAUGAGUGUCUUUAGUGGUGCUGUUGCGGCUGCCACAAUGUCCUAAAUCAUAUCCAAACAUUGACCUCCAUGGUAAUUUUGACUUUGGGGAAGAGCCAAAGGCCACACAGGCAAAUCUGGUGUAUCCUGUAUACAAUAUAAGGGACAGAAAGAGGCUUGUCGUGUUUCUUGCUUGCUUUGCUACCUCCUGCCACCAUGAACGUCUUCUCUCUGCAAUGCCUGUCUGCCAUGAGCCACUCUCGCUUGGAGUCAGCCAAACAUGGAUUGAAACCGCGGCAAACUAUAAACACUACUGACAUUACUAAAUAUCUUAAUGCACACGACAAGAUUGCUUCAAUGAAAACAGAAGUGUGAGAACUGCAUGAAGAGUUGAUCACAGGACUAUGAGUCAUCAUGCCAGGGCCUUUAGGUUAUAAAAAUUACAGCAUGGAUAAAGAAUAUUAAUCAUCAGCUACCUUUCUUCAACCAAAAACUCCUGGAAUAUCUUUAAUGCUUCAGAGAUGAGCAGCAGACAAUUUAAAAGAAAGGAUAAAGGAUGCAACCGAGCUGUUUCUAUGUGACUCGAGUCUUGAAAGAUUGUAUUGUGGCACAAUAAAAAUGUCCUUGCAGGCUGUAGAGGUAGAAAAUUGGGUUAACCUAUCUUUAAUACAGAAACUAAUUUUCAGUAAUACCCACAUUUUUAGUCUUGUGUUUUCUUUUUCUUUUUUUUUUUUUUUUUGGUGCCAGGAUCAAACUCGGGACCUUGCGUUUUGUGAGGCAGAUGCUGAACCACUGAGCUAAAUCUCCUGCCCUAGUCUUGUGUUUUCUUAUUUAUUUAAUGUUCAGGGCUGCUGUGGAUUGUAUUCAGGGCCUCAGGCAAGCUAAGCACACACCAAAGCACUGAGCUAUACCACCAGCCCCUCCCCUCUUUUUUUUGUACCGGGAUCGAAGUCGGAACCUUGCGCUGCCUAGGCAGGCACCUGAACCACUGAGCUAAAUCCCCACCCCCGCUCCUUUUGCUUUUUUGAGAAAAGGUCUGGCUAUACAGUUCAGGCUGUCCUUGAACUCACUGCAGUUCUCCUGCCUCAUCCACCCAAGUGCUGAGAUGAUAGGCAUGCACCACGCCACCUGGCUUCUCUUAACCUUUUGAUGUAGCUUUGGCAGAUAGAAUCAUGCUUGAAGCUAGAGGCUGCCAGCUUUCAACUAGUAGUUGCUAGUGAAACUUUGGUACAGUGAGGAUAAGAUGUUGUUGGCAUAGUGUAAUGUAAAAUAAAACAGUAAAACAUAGUCUGGUUUUUUGUUUUUGUUUUUUUUUAGACAAGAGUCUCACUCUGUAGUCUAGGCUGGCCUGGAAGUUGUUAAGUAGUUCAAACUGGUCUCAAACUCAAGCUCCUCCUGCCUCAGCUUCCCCAACUGCUGGGAAUAUAGGUAUACAGUCUUAAAAUGUUGGAAACAGCACCAUGCCUGCCUCAUAAGCACAAGGUCAUGAGUUUGAUCCCCAGUGCCAGAAAAAAAAAAAAAGUUGGAAACUGGGCAUGGUGGUGUACACCUGUAAUCUCAGGACUCUGGGAGGCUGAGGCAGGAGAGUCAUUAGCGUCAAGCCCAGCUUGGACAAUUUAGCAACUUAGUGAGAUCCUAUUUCAAAACAAAAAAUAAAAAGUGAGCUGGUGAUGUAGCUCAGUACAAAGGUUCUCGGUUCAAUUCCCAGUUUAAAAAAAAAAGUUGGAGGGCUGGGGAUUUAGCUCAGUGGUUCCACCGCCUCUGCCUUGCAAGCCCAAGUCCCGAGUUUGAUCCCUGGUCCCAAAAAAAAUUUUUUUUAAAGUUUGAUAAAAAUGAAGAUUGACAUUUAUAAGGGAUUUAAAUUUUUUUUUUUUGAGUACAGAUUCCUGCUUUAUAUUUACAUCUAUCCUAUACCUUAAAACCACAAAAUUGUCCUGGAUUAAUGGUAAGGAAUAAAAAAAAAAUAGUAAGGAAUCCUCCUUAGGACAUCCAGACUUCCAAAGUUUAAUGUAUACCUACUAAUGGUCACAGACAGUUACAUUCGCCCUAGGGCCUGUGAUGACAGUUUUUAACUUUUGUAUAUAAAACACCUAUCCCUUUGACACAGACUAAUGAAGGUACAUGUAACAGAUUAAUUUUUAUUGGUUUUGUUUUCUUUUUUUUUGGUACCGGGGAUCAAACUUGGGUCCUUCCACUUGUGAGGCAGGCAGUGGAACCACUGAGCUAAAUCCCCAGUCCUAACAGAUUCAUUUUUUAAAAAAACAACACAAGAAGCUGAGCAUGGUGGCACACACCUGUGAUCCCAGCUAUUUAGGAGGUUGAGGCAGAAGGACUCAAAGUUUAAGGUUAGCCUGGGCAAUUUAUUAAGACCCUGUUCUCAAAAUUUUAAAAAGGGCUUAGGAUAUAGCUCAGUGGUAGACUACUUGUCUAGCAUCCAAAGGCUCUUAAAAAAAAAGACUUCUUUUAUAAUGUUAAACCUGCUCUGUGGUAUUUAUUUUUUCAGAACAGAAACAUUAUUCAACAACCAUUAACCAUCAAGGCCGACAGGGUCUGAGAGUCUGAGGUUAUAUACAGCAUAGUGUAGUACUACGAAAGUUGUCUUUGUUUGUUUGAAACGGUCUCAUUAUGUAGUUCUGGCUGGACUUGAACUCGUUAUGUAGCCCAGCCUGGCCUUGAGCUCUCAGUGAUCCUCCUGCCUCAGCCUCCUGAGUGCUGGAAUUAUAGGCCUGUGCCACCAUUCUCAGUAUCAUCCUUCCAUAGUUCUUACCUCCCAUCCAUCUCCUCACCUUUUCAGCAGACAUUUUAAUUUGGCUUGUGAUAUUUUAAAAUGGCUUCUGUAAUCUCAUAAUUUAAAGGCAUAAACAGUUAAGC
rnacentral:lncRNA from 1 species